AUUGCAAUAGCUUCAUGUAUGAUAACGAUUAUUUGGAAAUUUUGGCUUUUGCAACAAUUUUACUUUCCCCCCAUAAUUUCCCUCUUCAAAUUUCACUAAAUCCAAUUUUAUCAGCGCCUAGACAUUUUUUUUAAUUCCUAAAACUUGUUCUCUAACCUUAGAGCAUAUCAAAAUAUCCCUACACCUUCUCAUAGCUUCGACCAUUUGAAACCCUAACCCCUCCGGCAAGUCACUCCUGCAAGGCACUCUGUACAUCUUUUCAACCUCACAGAGCCUAGGGAAAGUAAUAUUAUGGUAGCGACAAAGAGUCAAGGUCUGGUUCUUGGGAAUGUCCAAGCUUCAGCUCAAUACUUGCAUAUAAUCCUUAUAAUGAGCCCAACAUUGAAGUUUUCAGUAUUUGGUUUUGCAGGUAAGUUGGGAGAUUAAAGGUGAGAGUUAUGUGGGCAAUCAACCCUUGUACGAUCUUGAAGAUCAACACAAGAGAUUAAGGUUAAUAUAUUUUUAAAUGUUGUGUCUUAUUCCAGCACUUAGUUCAUCUCUGGGACUACUUUGAAUUUGAAUUUGCAAAGCUUUAUCGACUUCUUUGAGCUGAAUUACACUUGAAGUUUCAAGGUGGAACGGAUGAGCAAAGAGUAGAUGAAAGCGGCAACAAUAUUGUUUAGAGUUAUGAGAUUAUUUUAAAAUAUAGUGUAUUAAGAUAUUUUAGGAAUCUUUUAUUUUGGAUUUUCAUUACUUUGAGAGCUUAUGUAUGCUUUCGAAUUGUUAGAAUUUUUGUGGAACGUCUAAAUAAAUUCUAGCAAUAGCUUCAACAAAUUAUUUGUAAACCUUCA